rnacentral:rRNA from 1 species
UACGUAGGGUGCGAGCGUUAAUCGGAAUUACUGGGCGUAAAGCGUGCGUAGGCGGUUCGCUAAGUCGGUUGUGAAAUCCCUGGGCUUAACCUGGGAACUGCAGUCGAUACUGGCGGACUAGAGUACGGUAGAGGGUGGCGGAACUCCGGGUGUAGCGGUGAAAUGCGUAGAUAUCCGGAAGAACACCGAUGGCGAAGGCAACCACCUGGGCCUGUACUGACGCUGAGGUACGAAAGCGUGGGGAGCAAACAGG